AUUUUACCCUUUUAUUGAGAGCAAAAAUCGGUAGUUUCUUCCUUGUUUUGUGCUUGUCGUUUUCCCCAUUUCUCUUGCCUCUGUGGCUAUCAAGCCUUUGUGCCUGAAAUAAUACUCAAUUUUUGUGUCCUUUGUGGGGGCAACAGUUAGCAACCGAAAUGAAGAAGUGGUGUGGCUUGGGUUCGUUGGAUGUGUUUGAUAAGAUCAAGAUUGGUAGAUUGAUUCUAAAAGUACACAUUGGUGGUCAUUCUUCC
rnacentral:lncRNA from 1 species